rnacentral:rRNA from 1 species
AUACGGAGGGUGCAAGCGUUAUUCGGAAUCACUGGGCGUAAAGGACACGUAGGCGGGAAGCCAAGUCUGAUGUGAAAUCCUAUGGCUUAACCAUAGAACUGCAUUGGAAACUGGUUACCUAGAGUAUGGGAGGGGGAGAUGGAAUUAGUGGUGUAGGGGUAAAAUCCGUAGAUAUCACUAGGAAUACCUAAAGCGAAGGCGAUCUCCUGGAACAAUACUGACGCUAAGGUGUGAAAGCGUGGGGAGCAAACGGGAUUAGAAACCCCAGUAGUCC